CUUGGAUGUGCGUGCCUUGAAGUGAUUAAUCAGCCUCUGGUGAACUCUGUUUCCUUAAUGGCUGAAGUAUAACUGUGCGACUUCACGUCAGCUGCUGAUAGACAAGGAUUUUAAAGAUCUCCUGCCAGUUAGGGAAGGAAUAUUUUUUCCAAGCAGGCAUCUCUACAUACUAUGCAACAGAAAGGUGAGGAUGUCUCCUUUCCAGUUGUUUGCUCUUAUUUAUCAGAUUUAUUUAUUUAUUU
rnacentral:lncRNA from 11 species